AUCCUGAAGCCGCAGGCCUCGGGGUGUCAAAGUGAGGGAGUGGGGGCUGGGGGAGAAUAUUGUUCUAGCUUCUGUGAUAAAAAACGCUCUGACUGAAAGUACCAGAGGAGGAAAGGGGUUACUUGGCUUUAAUUUCAGAUUACAAUCCAUCACUGAGGCAAGGCAGGGCAGGAACCUGGAAGGAACUGGGAGGAAAUUCGGCCUGCUGGCUUAUUCUCAGGUUCAUGCUUAGCUAACUUUCUUAUACAGGACCACCUUCCUAGGUAUGGUGUUGCCCACAGUGGGCUGGUCACUCCUGCAUCCAUCAAUAGCCAGCCCCCUACAGAUAAAUUCACAGGCUAAUCUGUGUAGGCAAUUCUUCUCAACUGAGACUUUCCUUUGAGAUGACUCUAGUCUGUGUCAAGUUGUCAGUUAAACUAAUUAGGACAGGUUUGUUCUGAGAAGACAGGAGGAAAAGGAUGCCUUACCCUGAUUUGGGGAUGGGGUAAGUGGAGAAGAUUGGGAGGAUAGAAAGAGGAGAGAAAAUAUGAGACUUUUUCCUAGGAGGAGACAACACACACACCUCUCCUUACCCAAAAAUGGAAGUCACAGCAGAUCAAUGUAUGGGUUACACCAAAGUCUAAGUUGGUGAACUUUCAAGUUGUUAUUAGGGUUAUCGACAGCAGCAUGGGUGACUCAGAAAAGCCCACCUCAACACCAGUUGCCUACCCAGCAACCCACAGGCAAUUAACAGUCCUCAGUAGUUUCUGCAGCUCAGCUGUCACUUCCCCCCUCCCCCGUCCCCUCCCCCGUCCCCACUUGGGUAUUCACUCCUUUUCUAAAGCUAGGGAGGGACUUCAAUAAUCUUCCAAAUUUUGACUUUCCCAGACAUGACCUUUUCUUUACCUCUUAAGACUCUUUGAGUCUAUCCCUGCUUCCUGAGUAAAGUGUCACACAACAUAUGCCAUGCCUGUCAACCAAGCCCUGGAGGAGGCCAGCCUGGCUACAGAAUGAGGCCCUGCAUCAAAGAAAAAACAAAAUGUGUACCUCCAUGUAUAUGUAGGAGAAAGUGUCAUAGCCAAACAUAUUCUUUUAUAUAAUUACUAGUCACUGAUUUUAAAAAAAGAAAAAAAAUCUGCAAAGCAUAACACAAAUGUCACAUGAAAUACCGAGAAAAUCAACAUGAUUUGCCUCAUGGGCUUAGAGAACUUAGUCGAUGACUGAGUAGCUUCUUUGCUUGGGCCUGGCAAGGUAGAAUGGGUGGUGGAGCAAUACCAGGCACCUUGUAAGAAGGGACUGAGAGGAGGAAGAUGGGGACAGGGUUCCACCAUGCUCUUGAAGGCCAUGUUUCCAGUGACCUAAAAAUCUUCCCCACUAGGCCUCACCUCCUACAGACUCCACUAGUUCCCAAAAAUGGCUUCUUGGAGGGCUAGCCUUCACUACUUGGACCUCUGUGAAAUGUUUAACUUGCAAACAAACUACAGCACUUGCCUUUCUAUGCUGUGGGGCUUCAGUGGGUUGGCUAAUGGUUGCUUGCAUUGACAAAGAGGCUAUUCUUUAUUCAGUGCACUGGUCCAAUGUAAAUUUCCUUCCAACCCCCUCUUACUAAAAUGUCUAGAAACUGUUUAACUAGCACCUGAACAUCCCUUACAGUUAAGGCCACACCUAAAGUUAGUAGUUAUGACUUGUCAAAGGAAGUGCACUUCAAACAGCAGUAAUCACACACAGCCUAAAGGAAAGCCUGCCUGCUGGGAGAUCAAGAUCACCAUUAACCACUUUCUCGUACAAGCAUUUUACACGUAGUCUUAACACUAACUGGGUUGCAGAGUCCUGGAACUGGAGUUAUUAGUGACUUCGAGUUGCCAUGUGGGUGCUGAGGACCAAAUGUGGGUCCUUUGCAAGAAGGGUAGUAGGUGCUCUUAAUGACUUGAAUCAUCUCUCCAGCCCCCUCAACUCUUUUUUAUGACAGUUUUUUUUGUUCUUGUUGUUAGAAGAGUAAUCAAGAGCCGGAUGGUGGUGGUGUGUGCCUUUGAUCCCAGCACUAGGGAGGCAGAGGCAGACGGAUCUCUGAGUUUGAGGCCAGCUUGGUUUACAAAGUUCUAGGACAGGCAGGGCUACAUAGAGAAAUCCUGUCUUGAACAUCCCUCCUACCCUCACAAAAAAGUAAUCAGUAACUAAUUCCAAUGUGCAUACUUUUUGGGUACAGACCCCAUACUUUUGUCCAUUUCUCUUGACCGUUAGCUGCGUUUGUCGCAUGUGGUAAUCUAUGCUUGUGAUUCUAGCACUCAGGAAACUGGUGUAGGAAGUUUACAAGUUCAGACGCAGCUUGGGCUGGUCUUUUUGAGAUCAUGACUGCCCCCUCAAGCCCCAAUCUUGAUAAUGUGUUCUUGAGUUAUUGAAAAUACAAAUAGUAUGCUAAUAGAUACAAUAUCAAAUAGAACCGUAGGAUGAUCAAUAUAUUUUUGCAAAAACACUGUCAUGAAACUUGUCUUAAGAGAUUCAAAGUAUCAGAGCUGCAAAUUUGGGGGCUGGAGAGCUGACUCGGGAGCACUGGUUGCUCUUCCAGAGCACUCAGGUUCAAUUCACACCCUCUAAGUCCAGGGGACCUGAUACACUCUCGGAGGCCUCCUCGGUUUCCAGACACGCACUUAGCAUGCAUGCAUACAUGUAGGUAAAACACUCAUACACAUUAAAAAGACAAAAACAGAAAAACAAGGGCUGGAGAGAUGGCUCUGAAGAACACUUGCUGUUCUUCCAGAGGUCCUGAGUUCAAUUUCCAGCAACCACAUGGUGGCUCACAGCCAUCUGUAAUGGGAUCUGACGUCCUAUUCUGGUGUGCAGGCACACAUGCAGACAGAACACUGUAUAUAUAAUAAAUAAAUCUUUAAAAAAACAAAACAAAAAACCCAAAAUGUUCUUUAGCUGGAGAGAUGACUCAGCAGUAGAGUGCUCACUGCUGCCUUGCGGUGCUCAGCGACCAGCACUCCUGCAUGAGGGCUUAGAAGAGCCUGGUUCUCCUGCUCUAGGGGAUUUGGUGUCCUCUUUCGGCUGUUGUGAGCAACUGCAUGCACAUGAGUAUUAAUCCCACACAAACCUAUAUAGUACACAUAAGUAAAAAUCUUUUAAAUUAAAAAAAAAGUGAUGUUGGUACCGUAGUGAUAUUAUUUGAUUUCCAGGAAGUUCAGAAUGUGUUGUCACUAAGCAUAUGUGGGUGUUAUAGCAACCUGCUAUAAAUUCUCUAUAUUCUGGGUAAAGUCCUAUACUGAUCAGAUAACAGAUACAGGGGUAGUUGGGUUGGUGGGGAUAGUGAUAGUGAUGGUUGGUGGUUGCUAAGGCCUGGGGAACUGUUGCCUGUUUAGCCAUCCACCUUAUGCUGUUAUAAGGAAACUUUCUCAUGCCUGAGUUGAUUGCAUAUUCUGUUACGUUCUGUGCUUUGGUGUUCUUGUAAACCAGUCACAAUAGAGGUCAGAAUUGCUUUGUAUAGUUAGCUUGCUUGCUUGGGUCUGAACCAACCUCCCAGCAGCACUUCCUGCUGUAUGAACUUUUAGGGUUUUUGCCUUUAUAAGCUGCCCCUGGGAUCCCAACACAAGAGAGACAUCUACACCAAUAUAAGAAGCCAUUUGGAAUAAAACUUCCAUUUUCAUUUUAAGUAAGGGGUCAGAUAAAGUUUUGAGUUUUGGAGACCUCCCUGGGAAUUAACAUCAUACUUGUCAGAGUCAUAUACAAGGGUAACUGACGUCCUGGUUGGCAAGCUAAGACAUGAAUGUUAGGCAAGGUCUGUCCCUCCAUCACAAUUAAAUAACCCAAGUAUACAACAAAGACGUGUUCCUAAGGAAGUCUCCAUCCCUAAAUUCUGAUUGGUGGAAUAAUUUGGCAGAUGUUUAUGGAUUUCAGGCUUAAAAACCCUGUGCUAUUCUAGUUGGGAGUCACAGUUUAGCUCUUAAGUCUGAGCUGCCUCCCUGAUUGAUCAGUCUUGAGGUAUGCAUGCAAUAAAUCAGCCCUGUUUAACUGAGA
rnacentral:lncRNA from 1 species